CUACGUAGGGUGCGAGCGUUAAUCGGAAUUACUGGGCGUAAAGGGUGCGCAGGCGGUUUUGUAAGUCAGAUGUGAAAUCCCCGGGCUUAACCUGGGAAUGGCGUUUGAAACUGCAAGGCUAGAGUGUAGCAGAGGGGAGUGGAAUUCUGCGUGUAGCAGUGAAAUGCGUAGAUAUGCGGAGGAACACCGAUGGCGAAGGCAGCUCCCUGGGCUAACACUGACGCUCAUGCACGAAAGCGUGGGGAGCAAACAGAAUUAGAUACCCUGGUAGUCCACGCCCUAAACGAUGUCAACUAGUUGUCGGGCCUAAUUGAGGAUUUGGUAACGUAGCUAACGCGUGAAGUUGACCGCCUGGGGAGUACAAUCGCAAGAUUAAA
rnacentral:rRNA from 1 species